ACUCAAUUAGUAUAAAUAAUACGUCGAUUUUAGGGGUCGAAGAUUAAAGAAGACUUUAAUUGAGUG